GACUGCUUGAGCCUGGGAGGCAGAGGUUGUAGUGAGCCAAUAUUUCACUACUGCACUCCAGCCUGGGUGACAGAGAAAGACCCUGUGUCAGACAGACAAACAAAAAAAAUCAUGCUAAAUCCACUUUUCCUGUGCUCUAAAAAUGGAAAAACAAAGCCUGGAUGAUAGCACAUUUAUUUACGGCAUGGUUUACUCAAUAUUUUAAGCCCACUGUUGAGACCUACCUGCUCGGGGGGAGCGGUGGGGAGGGGGUGGCAUGGAAAUUCCUUUCAAAAUAUUACUGCUCAUUGACAAUGCACCAGUCACUAAAGAGCUCCUCAAGAGGUUAAAAUUGUUUUCAUGCCUACUAACGCAGCUAACCGUUCCACAGCCCACAGAUCAAGGAGUAAUUUCAACUUUCAGGUCUUAUUAUUUAAGAAAUACAUUUUGUAAGGUUAUAGCUGCUAAAGAUAGUGAUUUCUCUGAUGGAUCUGGGGAAAGUAAAUUGAAAACCUCCUGGAGAGGAUUCAUAUUCUAGAUACAAUCAAGAACAUUCGUGAUUCAUGGGAAGAGAACAAAAUAUCAACAUGAACAGGAGUUGGAAGAAGUUGAUUACCAUCCUUAUGGAUGACUUUAAGAGGGUCAAGACUUCAGUGGAGGAAAUAACUGCAGAUAUAGUAGAAACAGCAAGAGAACUACAAUUAGAAGUGUAGCCUGAAGAUGUGACAGAAUUGCUUCAUGCUUAUGAUAAAAUUUGAAUGGAUGAGAAGUUGCUUCUUAAGGAUAAGCAAAGAAAGUAGUUUCUUGAGAUGAAAUCUACUCCUGAUGAUGCUCUGAAAUUGUUGAAAUAGCAGCAAAGAAUUUAGGAUGGCACAUAAACUUAAUUGAUAAAGCAGUGGCAGAGUUUGAGAGGAUUUACUCCAAUUUCGAGAGUUCUUUGGGUAAAAUGCUAUUAAACAGCAUUGCAUACCACAGAGAAAUAGUUCAUGAAUGGAAAAAUCAAUUGAUGCAGCAAACUUCAGUGUUGUCACAUUUUAAGAAAUUGCCACAGCCAACCCAGCCUUCAGCAGUUAUCACCCCGAUCAGCCAUCAGUCAGCAGCCAUCAAGGCAAGACUCUGCAGCCUCAAAAAGAUUAUGACUCACUGAAGAGUCCGGCCUUGUUUUGCAAUAAAAAUCUCUCAAGAAAUUUUUUUUUACUUUCCAAUUAUUGCCUUGAUCACAGCCAUUCACUCUGAGUAAAUCUGUUCCAGUUUGGAGUUGAUCUUCUUUAACAAUAAUGCUAACGUUAUGCCUUAGCAUCAGCCUGAAGUACACCUACUGCUACAGUGAGCCAGUCUUCUGAGCUGUUUCACCCAGGAAUGUAUUCAGACCAAUUACAGAAGAACCAGAGAAAUGUCAAAUAGUUAAAGAAUCUAGCCCACAUAGAAAGGGAGCUUCUGGUCAGGAGUUCUUCAGACAGAGUACUAUGGGUAUUUACUUGGGCCUCAUGCAUCCAGCUUCAGGCUCGUCACCAUCAAUGAUGGAGAGCAGCAAUACACAGUAAGUAACACAUCUUGGAACUGCUGUUACUGGAGAAGUUCCUGACCAUCCUGCCCAAGAAAUCCAGGUCUGAGUAUAGGAGCAUCUCAGAGUAUAGGGAAGAGGCUGUCUGUACUGAAGAAUUUGGAGAGAAAGCUGAAUGAUCCAGGAGGAAAGGUAAAAUAAAGAAGAAAUGUCUAUCAGAUAGCAGGUAUUAUCUCCAGAGAGAGAUAAGAGAGUUGAGAUCACUUUUCUAGUGUAGUUACAGGGAAAUGGCUAACAUGUUAUUGGCCAGAAUUAUUUAUUUUUGUUCUACUUUGGUUUUUUAACUUGUUGUCCCUGUGUAUUUUCCCCUUUGUCCCUUUAUCCCUGCCCUUGCAGGGAUAACCACUUUCAGCUCUCCCAUUGUGGUGUUCCACAGUAAUACUGGGAUUUUAAGCUCUAAUUUUCAGCAAAUGUCACCCUCAUUUAACUAUAUCUAAUUGUCCCCAGCUCCCCACCCUUCUACAGGUGACAAGAAGUGCCCCCAACGGCAAAUAGUGUAUCUGGCAGCCGCACAGGACUCACCUGGCAUCUGGCUCCAGCCAGUAAAGGGUCAACUCAGCUCUGAAUCUUGGGAGUUGUACACUGUUAAGGAGAACACUGAGGAGAAGAUAGCAAAGAAGAAGUUAGGAAAUGUUGCUGUCUUUUUGCAUUUUUCCAAAUGAACCUCGUGACUAAAAUCUCUGCCUACCUUUUAUUUGUUAAUGCCUAUUCCACUUUUAACUUGUUCCUCUAAGCAUAUCACUUUAACCUUUUCUUUCUUAACUUCUUUGCCUUAAAAUUGUUUUUU